rnacentral:piRNA from 1 species
UAGGCCCAAGAUGUGAAAUGUUGGUUC